GAAAGUCCAUGCAGCUGAAACCCAAAGGUAGUUUGGAGAAAAAGUUGAACACUUGAAACAUGAUAAUGAUUAUUACACAAACUUGUAUUCUAACUCCUACAUGUGUAAGCACACAUAUACAUAUUUACGAAAUUAGCACUACAUAUUCACUGGAAAUGAAUUGCAUAUUCAGUGGUGAUGCUUUAGUAACAAUAGAACACCUAUGCAUUUAUGCAAGAGUGAUUCAUCAUUCAUAUGCAAUAUAGGGAAUAUCAAUGGGCAUAUUAUUAACUUUCCUGAUACAAAAACAUCAUGGAUUUUGUUAUUAUGACAUCAUUUGACCUGUUUUUAAAUUUAAAAUGAUUUCAUGACUGCAUAAUCACAGUAUUAUGAAUUAUGAAGACUCGUUAUACAACAU
rnacentral:misc_RNA from 1 species